rnacentral:rRNA from 1 species
AUGAACGCUGGCGGCGUGCCUCAUACCUGCAAGUCGAGCGAACAGACGAGGAGCUUGCUCCUCUGACGUUAGCGGCGGACGGGGGAGUAACAAGUGGAUAACCUACCUAUAAGACUGGGAUAACUUCGGGAAACCGGAGCUAAUACCGGAUAAUAUAUUGAACCGCAUGGUUCAAUAGUGAAAGACGGGUUUGCUGUCACUUAUAGAUGGAUCCGCGCCGCAUUAGCUAGUUGGUAAGGUAACGGAUUACCAAGGCGACGAUGCGUAGCCGACCUGAGAGGGUGAUCGGCCACACUGGAACUGAGACACGGUCCAGACUCCUACGGGAGGCAGCAGUAGGGAAUCUUCCGCAAUGGGCGAAAGCCUGACGGAGCAACGCCGCGUGAGUGAUGAAGGUCUUCGGAUCGUAAAACUCUGUUAUUAGGGAAGAACAAAUGUGUAAGUAACUAUGCACGUCUUGACGGUACCUAAUCAGAAAGCCACGGCUAACUACGUG